CCGGUAACAUCGGAGUCCUUUGACGCAAGUUGCGCCCGAUGCCAUUAGGUUGAGGGCACGUCUGCCUGGGUGUCACAUAUCGAAGCCUCCUUGCCAAUUUCCCUGAUUAUUGUGCAGGGUGGAUGUUGGCCUCCCGUGAGCUCUUUCGUCUCAUGGUUGGUUGAAAAUUGAGACCUUGGUAGGGUGUGCCAUGAUAGAUGGUGGUUGUGUGACCCACGAGACCAAUCAUGCGCUGCUCUAUUGAAUUUGGCCUCCUUUACCCAUAUGCGUUUCCAAACGCUCGUGAUGAGACCUCAGGUCAGGCGGGGCUACCCGCUGAAUUUAAGCAUAUCAAUAAGCGGAGGAAAAGAAACUAACAAGGAUUCCCUUAGUAACGGCGAGCGAACCGGGAUAAGCCCACCAUGAGAAUCGGUCGCCCUCGGCGUUCGAAUUGUAGUUGAAAAAAACCGUCAAAAGGAA
rnacentral:rRNA from 1 species